rnacentral:rRNA from 1 species
GCGGACGGGUGAGUAAUGUCUGGGAAACUGCCUGAUGGAGGGGGAUAACUACUGGAAACGGUAGCUAAUACCGCAUAACGUCGCAAGACCAAAGAGGGGGACCUUCGGGCCUCUUGCCAUCGGAUGUGCCCAGAUGGGAUUAGCUAGUAGGUGGGGUAAAGGCUCACCUAGGCGACGAUCCCUAGCUGGUCUGAGAGGAUGACCAGCCACACUGGAACUGAGACACGGUCCAGACUCCUACGGGAGGCAGCAUG